GAUGAAGAACGUAGCGAAAUGCGAUAAGUAGUGUGAAUUGCAGAAUUCAGUGAAUCGUCGAAUCUUUGAACGCACAUUGCGCCCUUUGGUAUUCCUUAGGGCAUGCCUGUUCGAGCGUCAUUUAAACCUUCAAGCUAAGCUUGGUGUUGGGUGACUGUCCGCCUCACGGCGGACUCGCCUCAAAAUUAUUGGCGGCCGGUACAUUGGCUUCGAGCGCAGCAGAAACGCGAACUCGGGCCCGUCGUAUUGGCUCCCAGAAGCUAUCUUCACAAUUUUGACCUCGGAUCAGGUAGGGAUACCCGCUGAACUUAGGCAUAUCAAUAAGCGGAGGA
rnacentral:misc_RNA from 1 species